rnacentral:lncRNA from 1 species
GAGAUUAACAUUCAGCUAGAACAAAACAAGUAGAGGAUUGAAGAGUUAAACCUCAAUAUAGACGGACAAUUGAUUGAUUCACUACUUUGAACUCGAGAUGUAAUGAACCGCAGACGGGAACCCCAAAUCGGCACCAAAAAUCUAAAACCAUCAAUGAACUCGAAUCAACCUCGACUAAACUUCGUUCCCAUACUCGAAUAAGCAGAAAUCAAAACAAAUGAUGAAACAGAAACAACUUCGUCGAUAGAUUCAACCUCAAUGAGGGAGGGGGCCUUUUCGACUUGAAUUAGAUACGUGCUGAACAUAACCCUUGAACCCGAAGCAGAACUACCACGAACCGACAAACCCAAGCAUACUUCGAUUCAGCAUUCCAACACAAACUUAACGGCAUAACUUGAACCAUUAACUUUAAUUUUGUAAAAACUCAUACAGAGACAAACAAUCAGAUCUAAAGCUGAAAUUUCAGUCAAAUAAUAUGCGAAAAAGUGAAAUACAACUACUUAAGCACAAGAAACAAGUCUCGAAAUUCAGUGACAAGCAAAGAGAACUUUCGAAACCAUAAGCUUCAUUAAAACAUUUCAUUAACUAAAGAGAACUUGGAAACCAUAAGCUUCAUUAAAACAUUUCCUUAAUGUAACAGUGGAAAGAAAUCAGAUAUACACAGCUCUUGCUUCUGUAAUCCAUCGAGAAAGAAUAACAAAAACUAAGAAAGAACUUUCGACCGGGACUAAAACCUGGAACCUCGACGAACUCAACAAAUGACGACCUCGAAAGGAUGGUGGUUUUUAGUCGAGCUACGGUGGUGACAGAAUGAUGUGGUGAAGUUGCAACUGUGUGUGGCUAUUUUUUCCGGCGGGCUGGGUCGUUUUGUUCAUUGGAAGUUAACGGUUGAAGCUUCUCUUUUGCUCUAGGGGUAUCUCAUGGUGAUGAAGAGGAAGCAACAUGGAGAGGGCUCUAGGUUUUCUCCAUGAAGAAGAUGAGAGAGGUAAAAUGGAGAAGAUGAAGCAGAAGGGGUCGUUUGGACGUGAGGGAGGACUGGUCGACGCUGGUCGUUUCGUUGUGACAGUAGGGUGGCUGGGUUCAGCUCAUUUGGGGUGGUUGCUGGAGGUUGAUGAUGGAAAUGGCUGGAGAAGAUGACUGAAGCGGCUGGAGCAGUGACGGGGUGAGGUGGUCGUCCUUGGUGUUAUGCGGCUGCCAUUGAGAUAAAAGUUGCUAGGUUUUUUUGGUUUUUCUUGAGAAAGACGACUGAACAAGAAGAAGCGUGUAUGUCCUCCUUCUUUUAAUCACUGUAGCGGCUUUCCUCC